AUGCACGCUGGCGGCGUGCCUCAUACAUGCCAGUCGAGCGAACAGACGAGGAGCUUGCUCCUCUGACGUUAGCGGCGGACGGGUGAGUAACACGUGGAUAACCUACCUAUAAGCCUGGGAUAACUUCGGGAAACCGGAGCUAAUACCGGAUAAUAUAUUGAACCGCAUGGUUCAAUAGUGAAAGACGGUUUUGCUGUCACUUAUAGAUGGAUCCGCGCCGCAUUAGCUAGUUGGUAAGGUAACGGCUUACCAAGGCAACGAUGCGUAGCCGACCUGAGAGGGUGAUCGGCCACACUGGAACUGAGACACGGUCCAGACUCCUACGGGAGGCAGCAGUAGGGAAUCUUCCGCAAUGGGCGAAAGCCUGACGGAGCAACGCCGCGUGAGUGAUGAAGGUCUUCGGAUCGUAAAACUCUGUUAUUAGGGAAGAACAAAUGUGUAAGUAACUAUGCACGUCUUGACGGUACCUAAUCAGAAAGCCACGGCUAACUACGUG
rnacentral:rRNA from 1 species